ACGGGAGGCAGCAGUGGGGAAUAUUGCACAAUGGGGGAAACCCUGAUGCAGCGACGCCGCGUGAGUGAAGAAGUUUUUCGGAAUGUAAAGCUCUAUCAGCAGGGAAGAUAAUGACGGUACCUGACUAAGAAGCCCCGGCUAACUACGUGCCAGCAGCCGCGGUAAUACGUAGGGGGCAAGCGUUAUCCGGAUUUACUGGGUGUAAAGGGAGCGCAGACGGAACAGCAAGUCUGAGGUGAAAUCAUAGGGCUCAACCCUGUAACUGCCUUGGAAACUGUUGAUCUUGAGUACUGGAGGGGUAGGCGGAAUUCCUGGUGUAGCGGUGAAAUGCGUAGAUAUCAGGAAGAACACCGGUGGCGAAGGCGGCCUACUGGACAGUAACUGACGUUCAGGCUCGAAAGCGUGGGGAGCAAACAGGAUUAGAUACCCUGGUA
rnacentral:rRNA from 1 species